rnacentral:rRNA from 1 species
CCCUUAGAUGUUCUGGGCCGCACGCGCGCUACACUGAUGCAUUCAACGAGUCCAACCUUGACCGAGAGGUCCGGGUAAUCUUUGAAACUGCAUCGUGAUGGGGCUAGAUUAUUGCAAUUAUUAAUCUUCAACGAGGAAUGCCUAGUAAGCGUGAUUCAUCAAAUCGCGUUGAUUACGUCCCUGCCCUUUGUACACACCGCCCGUCGCUCCUACCGAUUGAGUGUGUUGGUGAGGAGUUUGGAUUGGCCUCGGAAAGUGGUUCGCCACCGUCCGUAGCUGAGAAGUUCUCCAAACCGCCCCACUUAGAGGAAGGAGAAGUCGUAACA